GUGCGUGUCAAUGGUGAUGAGGGUACACCUGUUCCCAUUCCGAACACAGUAGUUAAGCUCAUUUACGGUGACAAUACUUGGCUGGCGACGGCCCGGGAAGAUAACUCGACGCGCACA
rfam:Butyricicoccus pullicaecorum 1.2 genomic scaffold acBRa-supercont1.1, whole genome shotgun sequence.